rnacentral:rRNA from 1 species
GACGGAGGGUGCAGGCGUUGUACGGAUUGACUGGGCGUAAAGGGCGUGUAGGCGGUUUGUCAAGUCGGGUGUGAAAGCCUGGGGCUCAGCCCCAGAAGUGCAUCCGAAACUAGCGAGCUAGGGCGCGAUUGAGGAGGGUGGAAUUCCUGGUGUAGCGGUGAAAUGCGUAGAUAUCAGGAGGAACACCGGCGGCGAAGGCGGCCCUCUGGAUCGUUGCUGACGCUGAGACGCGAAAGCGUGGGGAGCAAACAGG